GAUGCAAUGAUGUCUACUCAGAAUACUUGAGUAUUAAUUCUCACUAUAUUAAGAGAUGCAAUCUGACCGAUAUAUUUUGGAAUUAUCAGUUGAUCGAAUGUUCAAUGUUAUAUGCUCAUAUGAAGUAGUUAACAGAACAUCACUUAUUCAUUAAUUUCACAAGUUGUUAAGCAUCUGAUCUUUGCCACAUCACAAUACAAUGCUGAUAAUACAGAGAUUCAUGAGACAGAGUUCCUGACAUCAAAGAAGUUCCAGUUAACUGGAGAGAGAACAUACCCAGUGCUGUCUUUGCAGUGGUGUCAAUUGCUUCUCCAGCCACGCUGAGACAGAAGGAUGUUUGCCGGUGGUUGUACAGUAGCAUCAGCCCUCAGCUGAACCAGUCUGAGCCCCUGGAGGGCAAAGAAGCAUUUAAAAUCCUGAAACCCUCUGACCCUUUUUGGUGACCUGAGGUUCAUCCCAUGGAAGAAACUCCAUGACCUUGCCCACCUACCUUUAUCCCUCGGGCAGCUCUGAGGCACGUCAAUGGAUCCCAGCAUGACACAUGAAGAACUUGAAGUCAGAGGCAGUUCAUACAAGUAGUAAAUAACAAAAAAUUAAUAUGU